GAUAAAAUGGCUGAGCUAUAGGCAAUAAAUUGUAAAUUUAUUAACGAAUAAAUAAUUCUUUUAUCA
rnacentral:tRNA from 1 species